UGGAGUCGGGACCCGGGAGGAAUGGA
rnacentral:piRNA from 1 species